rnacentral:rRNA from 1 species
UAGGGAAUCUUCGGCAAUGGACGAAAGUCUGACCGAGCAACGCCGCGUGAGUGAAGAAGGUUUUCGGAUCGUAAAACUCUGUUGUUAGAGAAGAACAAGGACGUUAGUAACUGAACGUCCCCUGACGGUAUCUAACCAGAAAGCCACGGCUAACUACGUGCCAGCAGCCGCGGUAAUACGUAGGUGGCAAGCGUUGUCCGGAUUUAUUGGGCGUAAAGCGAGCGCAGGCGGUUUCUUAAGUCUGAUGUGAAAGCCCCCGGCUCAACCGGGGAGGGUCAUAGGAAAAUGGGAGACUUGAGUGCAGAAGAGGAGAGUGGAAUUCCAUGUGUAGCGGUGAAAUGCGUAGAUAUAUGGAGGAACACCAGUGGCGAAGGCGGCUCUCUGGUCUGUAACUGACGCUGAGGCUCGAAAGCGUGGGGAGCAAACAGG